rnacentral:misc_RNA from 1 species
UCGGUCUCGAGCCGCUGGGGAUUCGUCCCAGGCGAGCGCCCGCCAGAGUUAAACCAAACUCUUGUUAUUUAACCGGUCGUCUGAGUUAAAAUUUUGAAUAAAUCAAAACUUUCAACAACGGAUCUCUUGGUUCUCGCAUC